rnacentral:lncRNA from 1 species
CGCCAAGAAGGACUACAACCUGGCGAAGCACCCGCAGAUCGAUGUGCCCAACCUGCAGGUGAUCAAGCUCAUGCAGAGCUUCAAGUCCAAGGAGUACGUCAGGGAGACCUUCUCGUGGCAGUACUACUACUGGUACCUCACCAACGAUGGCAUUGAGCACCUGCGCAACUACCUCAACCUGCCAUCUGAGAUCGUGCCUGCCACGCUGAAGAAGUCUGCCAGGCCGCCUGGCCGUCCGUUUGGCUCUGGCCCUCCUGGUGACCGCCCAAGGUAAAGCUUUUUCUUUCUAUCUUGAGGCUUUGUUAUAUCCACGUUAAAUUGUGCACUCAACAAACAUGUGAUAUGAUUCUGGAUGUUUGCUGCACGUGUCUGGUGAUAAUUCAGUUGGAGAAGUACAACCACAUCAUUAGUAGUGUUGUGUGUUUCCAAUUUUGAUAGGAAAUUUCAUCAUCUGAUAGGAUCAUGUGCUUGUAUUUGCCCAUUGUGUUAUGCUACACAAUCUUUACUAGGAAUUUGUCAGUAGCUGAGGUGUUGUCAGAAUUAGACAUGCGUGCCACUUAUGCAGCUUGUUGUUGCACGAGUUAAAUCAAACAUACAUUUAAAUUAAAGAACUGUGGGUUUGUGGUGCUUAUUUGUACCUAGUUAUAAUUUGUUUGAUUGAAUCUGUUCUUGGGUGUAGCGCAUUGUUGUAGUGCUUCAAGAAUAUAUGGGUAGAUUAAGCUAAUUUUAGGGCAACUAGGAAGAUAACAUCUACAGAAUGCUCAGUUUUGUAUUAUUUGUAGAUACUUUACUUAUCCUGUUGCCCUCUUUUUAGAAAUUGAACGAGGUAAUUUAAUUUUUUGUCGUUGCUUGUAAUGUUUGCAGGGGCCCACCUCGCUUUGAAGACAGGCCAAGGUUUGGUGAGAGGGAUGGGUACCGUGGUGGUCCUCGUGGUGCUCCUGGUGACUUCGGUGGUGAGAAGGGCGGAGCUCCUGCAGAGUUCCAGCCAUCUUUUAGGGUAAUUGUUUUCUUCACUAGUUUUGAACAUUAUUGAUGCAAAUCUGCAAUUGUUCUUCCACAUAUUGCUGCGCGCUUCACCGUGCUGCAUUUGGUCUUAGCCCCACUUUGAUCAUUUAUUUAAAAAAGAAGCUAUCAGCAUGGUUUAAAUCGUAGAUCAUAAUGUUUACUCUAUUUUUUAUAUGCUCAGAGCUUGAAUUAAGUCAUGAUCACCAGUUAAUUUACAGACAAAGCAGAGGCACAUUCUAGACUUAGUUUGACCCUUGCUGCACCUGCUGUCUUGCAUUGGCCCCUUGAGCUGUUCUUGCCCUUUCUAUUGUGUAACUUGUCAGACAAAUUAGCAAUGUGAAACAUGAGUUGGUCAGGAAUUUGCACUGUUGGCGGGAGUUGCUUUAUGGAAGAGUUCCUUGCUUUUUCCCUAUAUUCUAGGGAUGUUGAAUGGACUAUUAGGUUGCAAACUAUCAUGCACCAUCUGUUUCAUGAAUGCUAAUGUUUAUUUCCAUCCCACAAACUCUGCAGGGUUCUGGUGGCAGACCUGGCUUUGGCCGUGGCGGCGGCAGCGGCUUUGGUGCUGGCCCAACCUCUUCAUCCAUGGAGUGAAGUUGCCCCUAGUUUGGACAUGGUGUUUCCCUUCGCGCGAGGCGUUUAAUUUUGAAGGACAGUUAUUAUGUACUAGUAAUGUUAUCCGGAUCGGCAAGUGCUGACAUAUGCAGAAAAAUUGUGCUAUCUUGAUACCUUGGUUCCAGUAUAAUAGUCUUUGCAAACGUGGUUUCAUGUCAUUACCUUUUCGAAAGCUAUUCUCCUGUUUUGCUCGUCUUGUUUGUGAUUCUCCCGUUUCAUUGGUGCCUGACCGUCAAUGAUCUAAUUUGGCCGGUUCUGUUUUGCUGUUAGUGUUUGUUUAAACUACAGUUCCGUGCCAGCUUAUGUUAAGCUACCGCCUUAUCUGCAAGAUGGAACCCUGUAUAGGUUGCACUCGUUAGACUGGAAGGAGGAUGCUUGGCAUCCUUCGUUGUAGAACGUACCUGGGGUAUUUGUUGUUUGCUGCGGAGCUGAGCUGAGUUCCGAUAGAAGAGAAGAGCAUCGUCUGUUUGGCGCUGGAUUUCUGCAGGUUUAUAUGACGUGCAGCAUCAUGUUUUUGCAGUCAUUGUGAAUGCCGUACCAAAUGCCUCCGUUGCAGCAGCCCCAUCGAGAUGUCUAUGACAUUCGCAGAUGAACUAGAUUGCUGUAUGGCUAAAGAGAGGUUGAAGUAGAUCAAACGAGGUGUCUCUGAUUUCGGUAGAUGAAGUACUUGUUAUACUGUUUGUAUGUUAAAAGAUAAAAGAUGUCUUAGAAGUAGUAGCGUUGCUGCUGAUUUUUUCAACUGUGUGAACAGCAUAUAAAUUUUAUGCAGUAGGAACGCUUAGGAUUCAGACUCCGCAUCUGCUUGGAGUAUAUCAUAGAAAAGGAAAAGAAUUGGAUAACAAUCUGGCCCAUCAGGCUCCAGUUAAGACUUAAGAGGCCCAAAUCCGCUAGUUAAUGAGCCAGGGGAACACUAACACACGCCUGUUUCAGACUUAGUCCCACAUCGAGGAGCAAGAGCAGGGCGACGCCCAGACAUGGCACCAAAAGGAGAGCCGAGGCAGCCGAGCAAUUCAUACCUUUCUCGGCCUUUUGGCUAAGAUCAAGUGUAGUAUCUGUUCUUAUCAGUUUAAUAUCUGAUACGUGGGCCAUGUGCCUACUUUGAUAUUAAAUUUAUUUUUUGUGGGGAGAACUUGUUACAGUGGCUUGCCACUAGAGGUCUCGAGCGUCGCUAGGGUGUUGCACUACUACCCUAGCUUGGCGCACCCCAACCAAACCAAAUAUGAAGAGUUUCAAAUCAAAUCAAUUGCUAAAUGCAUCGUAUCAUACAGAGACUAAUGUGCAAUUGCCAAGCGCAUCUUUCACCAUUACUGUGUGUUUACUUUGUAUGCAACCGUAUCAUACAGAGACUAAUGUGGACUAAGCUGCUCCCUGGCUUCUGUACAGCAAACAAAACGUGGAGAAAUUACUGGCCCAGAAGAACAGCGAGGAGAGCAGGUAGCAGGACGAGCCGCUGCCAUUGCAGCACCGGCGGCGGCCGCCACGCCGCGGCGGCGGAUGAGGCGUUGAAGAUGCCUUUGGGAGUCUUGCCGUGCCGGGGAGUGCACGUGCCGUUGGCCUGCUCAGACACAAGACAGUUUCGCCUCAGUACGAAAUUUCAGUAGACAGGAUGCUUAGGAUUUGUGCGUGACGAAUUCAUCAGAAUCAACUUUCACAACCGGACCAGAGUCGAUUAAGAAAAGCUUUCUUAGCUCUAAAAUACUCAUAAUGCGAUGAUAGAUAUUAUAAAGAAAAAGAUGCUAGAGGUUUGUGCAGCCAGGAGGCAUUACAUUGCAAGCCGAGAUGCUCCCGCAGCUGCAGACCAGGCCGCCGUUGGCCUUGUCCGUGGCCUCCGCCGCGCCGCCGCGAUCGCUCCUCUGCAUCGAUGACGGCAACAGAGAUUCAGAACACGAACACCACUACACCAGAAACGUGCUCCACCGAGACCACCGCGUCUGCAGUGCGGUGUUUUAUAGAAGGGUAUCGAGGCUAUUUGGCUUUGUAUGGAAGAGGGGCAGAUCUGUGGGGGAGUAGUAGUGGCCAUCUUCUUCUUAGUUGUCUCUGUAGUUGUUUUUGCUUGUAGUUGGCUUUUGUUGUUGCUGGAGCCCUAGGAUCUUGUUGUAUUAGCUUUAUCUUCUCUUGAAUAUAAUCGGCGGCUCUCCGGUUCGUCUCAAAAAGAGACCACCGCGUCCUGGAGACAGAGAGAGAGAGAGAGAGGCGAUCGUCGACCGAGCACUGACCUUGUAGAAGUCGACGGCGAUGAAGUUUGCCCACCGGUCCCCGGACUUGGCGUGGCAGACGUUGAGCACGUCCAUCAGCGGCGCCGAGUUGUCCUUGCACGCCUCCGGGAAGUUUGGGAGGUCCCUGAAGUAGUUCACCAGCACCAGCGACCUCGAGAGGUCGUUCAUGGCGGCCGACUCGGCGCGGUUGUGGCACGUCCCCUUCACCAUCCCCUUGGUCCCGUCUGCACACAAAACAACGCCACGCGUCGUCAGAAUCUAGCAUCGCUCCCGGCGGGUACGGUCGUCGUGCAAGGAAGGACGGGGACGUACACUGGUUCUCGACGACGUAGCGCCACUCGUAGGCGAUGCCCUCGGCGGCCUCCUUGGCGGACUUGGAGGUGAAGACGAGGAGGCGGUGGUUGUCGCGGACCAUGUCGCUGAGCAGCGGCCAGUCGCCGCCGCUCUUGGGCAUGCGCGAGACCGGGAACAUGUAGCGGGCGAGGCCCGAGGCGUUGAGCACCCGUGUGAGGCCCAUGGGCGACUCCACGUAGUCCUCCACGAAGAUGGUGACCACCUCGGCCGGGUUCCGCGAUAGGAAGCGCUCCACCUCCCGGAGCACGUUCACCGCCGGUUGCUGCCAGUGCCAUGCCAGGGGGAAUUAAUUUGGAUCGGAUGGUGUUCGUUUGGUUGGUCAGAUUGUUUCAGUUCAAACAGAGAUGGACGGGGAGCUUACGAAUGCGGUGAAGUUCUGGCAGAUGCCGCCGAAGGAGUGGCAGAGCCAGAUGUCGUUGCGGAAGUCGUACAUGUCCAGCAUCAGGCCCCUCACGCCGUUCUGCGCACACAAAGUUUCGCGUCUGACCAAGAUGCAGAACAUCUAAUCUCACAAUAGAUUGGCUCGAUGUACGUAGAAAUAUGAAGGAACAAGACAUCAAGCGAGGGUAUCUUUUGAUUCUGAUCGGUUGUUCAGAACCGCGAAAAUCUAUGGUUGGAACUUGGAAAUCAAGGAAACAUUGACGUUUAGCUGCUCAACAUUUGACUCAUGUAGUCAUGUCACGAGUUGAUCGAGGUGAGACGGCACCGAAAAUUGACGCGCCAACCAAAUUCUCUCACGAACCACACACAAGAACGCAGGGCGGUGCUAGGUAACCAGGACACGGACAGCCGGGCCCCGCGACCGCUACUCAAGAAAGCGCAGCCGCAGCGGCGGCGUGUGUGGGGGGCCUCCGCUGCUCCAGUGGUCUGCAAGUCCGCGCGCGGCGCCGUGCACGCGCCGCCUAGAGCGCGCGCACGCGUCGGCACCCGGGGCAGCGCGUCGGGACACCUGCCCCGUCGCGUCGCGUCCCGGCGGCGCCUGCGCCUCGGCGCGCCCAUACCUACCAGCUGGACCGUAGCCUCGUCGCGUGUCCGCGCCCAAUCAAGGCGCGAGAGCAACAGGAGGGACGAGCUGGCCGCUGCCUGCUGUUGCCGUUGCUCCAAGAUUCGCGCCGGCGGUCGAGCCGAACGAAGAAAUGGACAGCGUGCCGUAUUGUCCCUCGCGUUACUAUACGUGGAAGCCAAUGUUUGCGUGCGUUGGCGCGCCGCCGGCCCCACAACAGGUCAUCCAGGAGCAGAGUCGAGCCGAGCUCGGCUAAGCUGCGGCAGGAAGAUGAGGGGAGCGGCGGCGAGAAUGGAAGAAGAAGAAAGGAAGGGGGCGCACUCACGUUGAGCUGCUCGGUGACGGUGUCCUGCUGGUUCCACGGCGUGGCGAUGGCGACCCCCGUCUGCGACUUCUGCCCCAGCCGCGCGAACGAGUUGUGCGUCGUCAGCCACGCGUACCGGUUGAACGGCAGGUCCCGCGCCUGCAAUCACACGCACAGCCGAGGUGAGUGAAUUGUGCGAGCAGCCGCGCCGGGCGCAUUGGGCGGCGGCGGCGCCGGCCGAGCCGGACCAGCGGGAGAAGAGCUCGUCGUCGUACCUUGGUCUGCGGGUCGACGGGGGUGACGCGGGUGCAGCGCGGCCGCACGUUGCCGUUGGCCACGCACGUCUCGCAGUGCAAGCCGGCGGCGCAGUUCCGGUCCAGCGCGCACGUCUGCCCGAUCGUCCGGGCCGACACCACCACCACGGCGGCGGGGGAGGAGCACAGAAUCAAAAUCAACAGGAAGCCCACCGCGGCGAGGCGGACAAUCACCGCCGGCACAGGCGCCACCCUGUCCCCGGCCAUCAUCUCCUCCUCCUCCGGCUCCGGCUGGGUUCCUCGCGCUCCGUUCCUUGCCUGGACGGCUGGACGCGGCAAUCCGGCCAGACCAGGGGGCGCGGCGGUGAGGUUGGUGCGUGGGCGGCUUCGCCUCGCUCUCGCACUCGCGUCUUUGAGUGGCGAUUGUGUGGCUUGCAAGGCCGGACAAUGGCAGUGGCGUCGGCGCCCGGGCGCGCGUGCUGUUUCUUCUCGGACGCUUUUAACUUCGCCUUUCCGCCCCCGUGGAUCUUGGCCCUUGGCGGAUGCCCCCAUCCGCCGCGGGUCCCGCCCGUCAUGUCACGGCCGGAGCCGCGGGGAAGGUGGGGCGCGGACGCGGCCAGCACCCCGUCCCGCCGAGGUGGCCGUUGCGGUGGUCCGGUGCGCCUGCCGCCGCUGCCGCCGCAGGGGUCCCAACCGCCAGGUGACCUGGCACGUACGGGCAGCAAAUGGAAAUGACCCAACCGCAUCUCAUUACGCGCGCAUUAUUAUUAUUAUUCGUUACUAAUACUAAUUCAAGACCAUGAUUUUAGUUAGUUAUUGGCCUAUCUCGUGCUGAAAUUGCUGAAUGAAAGGAUGGACGACUACGCCACUCGUGGUUGUUUGCAUUGUCUACUCCAAUUUGGUUUUGCUUGAGAAAUUGGAUUUCGGCACUCAUCUUUCGCUCGUCACAUGGAAACUAUGGAAGUUUGAAAAAAAAAAAUAUAGAGAGCAUUUGGAGAGGACAUGUCUAAGACGUGUGGCAUGGCAAAUUGGCAAUGAUUAGCAGCAAACAAACACAAGUCUUUGUUAUACCAUUUCCCCUUAGUACUUCUUGUUGCUGUUUCUGGGACAUGUUAUUCUUGAGCAACUGGAUUUUGCUAACAACAUGUCAAUUACAUCUUCUUGCAACAGGUGCAAACUCCCCAAAUGCUUGUCGUAUGCAAAUUCCACACCGAGCAUUCUGUUUAAAAUAAUAUGUAUAAUGAGUAUCUUGCGUAGCUAUCUUUUACGCAGCUAGGGUCCUAAAUUUAUGAUGAUGAAUUGGUUGGAAGUUUUCAACGAACAUGAAUAGGAUUUUUUUUUUGUUGGGUGAGGUAACGUCCCUAUCUUAGAGCGAUAUUUUAUCAAAUCGUUUUCUCACAACCAGGGAAUAAAUGAGAAACAGAAGGGCUGAGAGAAAACCACGGAGAUGUGCACUCAUGAAAAUGAGGAAGGCAAAAAAAAGGAGAAGAAAAAUAGAGAAAGAAGAUAGUUCUAUAAAAGUAUGCACUGAAAGAAUAUCAAUACUGAUCGACACACGUUCAUACUCAAGGACUAAAAAACACAUUCCCAGCUAGAACAUCUUGCAAGAUAAGCCCAUUAUCUUUGUACUCCCUACCCAUGUGACUCUGUUCAAUUGCACGAGUCAAAUUUGCAAAAAUGACAUGACACCAAGUCAGAGUGGAUUAUGUCCUACUGCCUUGGAACUCGCUGCCAUGGCAGUAACAUAUUGUUUAUGUGUACGCCACCAUUCAAAUUGGUUGUGACUUAGUAUAAUAAUAAUCGCCACCCUAAUCGUCAAGUACAGUGAUACAUGCAUGGUGUCCAGUGUUAGCAUAAAAAGAAGGACGCCUACUUGUACAUGCCAAGUCAUGAAGUGGUUGGUUGAUUUGAAUGCAAAGAAAACGAAGACCGGAAGAUAAAGGCGGUCGAAAUGCAUUAUAUUCCAGCUAGUAUUCGUAUGUAUGCACAUCGAAUGCUCAGCUAUGGAGUUCUCUGUUGGUUGGAUGUGAACACAUGCGUGGAGUUGCCAACGACUCCAUGAUCUGAUAGUUUUAUGCUGCCGGCAUGUGUGUUUUGUGCACGUUUGGGUCGGAGAUACUCAGAGCUGCGAGACAGGCAGGCGGUUGGGAGCGGACGAGUGGUAUUGGAUUCGGACAAGAGCUUGAUGGCAGAGAAAGGCGGUGGUUCUUCAGUUCCAGAGCGGACGCGGACAGCUCCCUCCCUCCGUAACGCACCUUUUUAGGCUGUUUUCCGAGAUGGGCGUGCACAGCUGGGAAAGCGCUCUUGGGGCCUGAGUACCUCGUUAUUAAGGGGUUUUUUUUAAAGUACCGGGUCAAAUAACCGAUAUUAAAGGGGUUUUAGUACCGGCUGUUUAAGGUUUUUUUUCUUUUCUUAUUUUUUUCUCAUAUUCUUUUCUGUUUCUUUAUUCCAUAUUAGUAUUUCGUAUUUGUUUUCUUUACGUAUACUAGUUCUAAUAUGCUAAUAUAUAAAAAGUUGUAUUUGAUCUAUAAUAUUACAUUUAAGAUAAUUAUAUAUAUAUAUAUAUAGACAUCUUCUGCAUACACAUUCAUAAAUAAUAUUACAUUGCAUCAACACUUGAGGUUCAACAUUUGAAUCAACUAUUCUGAAUCCGGAGUCCUGACGGUGAUGCAGAUUUGAUCCAUUAUUAUGGAACUCCCCUGCUGAAUUUACUACCUCGUUCAGAAGAAAUCCACUAAGUUGUUCUUGAAUUGCCCUAUUUUUUUCUGUCUCGAGGAGUGCUUCUUUCAUAUCUUUCAUCUGUGUCAUUGGCAAAUGUUAUUAUAUAGUAGAUCAAUGGGUCUGCACAAUUAGAACUAAUUUAUUGUUAAGAAAUUUGUAUACGUACUCUGAACUCACAUACGUAGUAUCCGCAUAAAUUAUUCCACGGAUUCUGUCUCAAACACUAUAUAUAUGGCAAAAGAAGUUAUAAAAUAUUUGUUGUGUUCAAGGAAGUGUCACGAGAUGUGUAAAUUCACCUGCGUGAUGUCGACAGAAGCGAGCUCAUGCUUUAUUAAGAAUGUCUAUGAGAUUUUUGUAUUGAUCUCUUGAUUUCCUCAAAGAGUCCAUGGUAUAGACUGCGCUUCGAUCAACCGCGAUAACAAGGAGUAUCCAGUGGAAGCUGUACAUAUAUGCAUAGUCAAAGCUAGUUAGUCUUAUGUUUAACUGUUAGUUCGAAAAAGAAAACAGAUAGAAAACACGCUCACUUGAAGUUGUAUGGUAGAAGUAUGUACUUCUUGUAAUGUUGGUUAAGAACUUAUAUAUGUUCUUCAAGGUCCAAUUUGGUCUAUCUCUUACAGUUGAUUCAUUAAUAAUAUCCGGGUCCAUUAAGCUGAUGUCAUAGUAUCCUUUCCUCCGGCAAGUUUGAAUCUCCAUCUUGCAUGAUACAAAAUCGAAUAGGAGUUAAGACAUCGCACAAUGACUAGAGCGGAGAUUUUCAAAUUAGAGCAAAUUAAAGAUUUACAGAACCUUGUCAAGUGCGUUUUGAUUGUAAAGGAAAUAGAGUUCCUCCAGCGGCACAUUUAUAAUGUCUUCCCCACGGAAAUAAUGUUGAUCUCCAAUCCGAACUUCGAGCAUGAGUAAACCGUUGGCUGAAACCUCCAUGUAUCAUUGAUGCAAUUUGUACAUCUUCGUUAGAAGACGAUCCACCAACUGCGGCCACACAAGCUCUUUCCCUAACUCAAAUUUCCAUUUACCAGCCCCAGGGUGCUUUGGGAUGUGAUCCUCCCCUCGAAGUUGAGCUGUGGUGAGAUUUGUAUCUUUGGCGAAUAGAAGCAGGUUCUUAUCAAACUCCGAAAGCACCUGGAGCGGAGCAAUCGAUUGGUUGGAUUGGAUUCCGAGCUGUGGAAUACUUGACCCACUUUUGUUCUUCUUCUAAAAUGCCUUUGUUAUUGUGCAAUCGAGUCAGAUAGCGGUGGUUUUUCUAACUUUUUCUUUUUCUUCAAUUUCAUGCCUUUAAUGAAAGCUCGAAAUUUAAUCUUAUCAAGUGGUGGAUCUUUCUUCACGGGAGGCUUUGGUGCGAAGUGAGCUUUAACCUGAGCAUCCACUACCGCGUCGAGUUCCGCAUCAGUCAUAUCAUACAAUUUCUUGGACUCUGGUUGCUUCUCCUUCGGCUUUUUCUGCUUCUUAUUUGUAGGCGCAGUAGGCGGAACUGAAGGCGUCUUUUGUCGUGUAGCCUUGCUCAUAAUAGGGGGAGGUGGACUCGUGCUAGGAUCCCUGUCAGCUGGUGGAGAGUGCGGACUCAUGUUAGGAUUCCUAUCAGCUACUGGAGAGGGUGUCCUGGCAGAUGACGUAGGUGAUCUUGCCCUUGAGCCUUGAGGAGAUGAUCCUAAAGUCAGGGGAUUUCACUAUGUAAUUGUUGUGUAGUGCUUGGGCCAUAGAAUCCAAUCGUGGAUGGUUUCUCUUAGAUUCUUUUCCCCGUCACCUCCAGGAAUCUCCAGUUCCAGGUCAUCCCAACCGUUGAUCACUCGGUCCACCCCAACUUUGGCAUAACCGCGAGUUGGAAUUUCCACGCCAUGAAUUGUUUGGCCUUGUGCCGGUUGUUCAGCCACACCAUAAGCACCACGAUGAGCUUAUUUUUCAUGGGAGUAACAAGCUCACAAGGGGCUCUCCUAGUGAUUUCGUCCAUGGGGUGGCGUUGGUUGUCCUCAAACAUGUCAGAAGAUCCUCCAGCUGGGGCUUCCGUGGAAGCGAUGUUGCUUCAAAGUUGAGAGGGGCUUACGUCGACAUUAGCCCCUGAUGAUGCAGCUGCUUGUUCACUGGCUUGUUUGCUAAGAGCUAGAGCCACACACUGAUCGAUUGCUUCCUCCAUUCUUGCCUCUGUCAAAGCUAUGUGUUGUUGCAACUCUCACAGCUGUCGUGCGUGUUCAGCCUUACUUCUUUGGCAACUUCUGUAGGAAUCAAUAUGCUCAUGAAAGGCAAAAUUUCAUGGAAUUACUCCUUUUCCUCAGCAACAUCGAGGGUGUUUUGGAUUACCUAGUGCCACAGUCAGCUCAUACUUUCCUCGAUCAGGCAUGAAAGAUCCUUUGACUGUAGCCUUUAUUAACUCAACAAGUCUCAUAGCCGCUUCUCUUAAUUCUUGGCCAAACACAAAUGAUCCAUCUUCGGGAUUGGGUGUGCUGCCUUGAGCAUAAUACCAAUGCUUUGCUUGCUCCGGCCAUUCGAGAGUCGCCGGUACUACUCCCUUAGCAAUUAUGUCAUCUUCCAUCCUCUGUCAUUUCAUGAUCCCCUGGUUGUAACCUUCAGAUCCAAGACGAUGAAAGUAUUUCUUCUGACAGGCAUUGUAUGUGUUGGUUUUAGUUGCCUUAGCGCUCUUUUGCGACUGCUUGAACUGCACAAAUGAAUCCUAGUGAUCUCUUAACUUUGGGUGCUUCGUGAAAUCUGGUAUAAGACCCUUCUUUGUGUAGUCUUUGUUCAUGCUCUUCUUGUACGUCUGAAAAGAUUGCACCUUUCGGAAAGCCCCAAUCUUUCACUUUUUUCUUUAUCUACAUCUUCGAACAUGAAAUUUCUUUUAUCUGCUCCCAUAUCAUUUCCUUUUCUCGCUCGGGGACCGUGUUUAUGGGGAUCAUGCUUUUGGGGACCACGCUCUCAUCGAUUUCACGGGUUUUCCAAUUCUGAAAGCUUAUUGCGAUGUUAUCCCUAAUAAGAAACCCAAUUUGAUUCACCAAUUUGAUCUUAGCAUUGUCUGGAGCAGUUGGUUCACCCUCUUAAUUAAGUUCCGUGACGGUGAUACAACCCUCUAACUUCUUUUUCGGGCCUCCGUUUAGGCCUGCUCGAUCUAGAUCGCUGAAAAACGAAACAACUAUUAAUUCCCAAUAAUCUUGAUAAAUAGAGAAUUCAAAUUAUGUUGACAUACCAAAACAAAGGGAUUUUCAAAGGUCCAUAGUCGAGUUCCCGUAUCUCCUCAAUGACAUCAUAAUAUGUGUCUUUUUUUCUAUUGUUGUCUAUUGCAUUUAUACAGACACCACUAUUUUGAUUUGUGCUCUUUUGGUCUUGGGCUGUCAUGUAAAAUGUGUACCCAUUUAUCUCGUAUCCUUGGAAUGUUGAUACUAAGAUAGAUGGACCCCUAGCCAACCAUGCUAGUUGCUCUUCAAUCGUGUCAUCACCCAUCAGUCAUCGUCGCAACUAAGAGUUGAAAGUGUCAAUGUGAUGACAUCUAAUCCAUGACUCUGUCUUCCCCUGGUUUAAGAACCGUACAAUGGUCUUGUGCUCCUCCAACUAUGGAGCCACCAAGGAUGAUUGUUGCAUGACCAUGUGCUUUACGAAAUGUACUCUCAUCAAUGUCCAUCUGAGCUUUCCUCUCUAGUGUGUCAGCUUCUUUCAAACUAGCAAAUGCACUUUCAGAGCCAACUUUCCCUUGAGUCUCCAAUCAUGGCGUGAUACAGGGACUCCAAUCAAACUCAGGUCGUCAAUAAAGUCAACACAAAACUCAAUGACCUCCUCUGUUCCAUAUCUUUUUGCGAUGUUUCCUUCUAGAUGGGCACGAUUACGAACAUACUUCUUCAAAACUAUCAUAAACCUCUCGAAAGGGAACAUAUUAUGUAGAAAUACAGGACCGAGAAUAAAAAUCUCUUCAACAAGGUGGACUAUAAGGUAGGUCAUGAUAUUAAAGAAGGAAGGUGGAAAGACCAUCUCAAAGCUGACAAGGCAUUACACCACAUCAUUUUGUAGCUUUAAUAGAUUGUUUGGAUGGAUUGCCUUAUGAGAAAUCAUAUUGAGGAAUGCACAUAGCUUCAUGAUUGCCAUUCUCACAUUCUCUGGUAGAAUACCCCUUAAUGCAACCGGCAGCAAUUGUGUCAUCAGGAUGUGGCAGUCAUGGGCCUUUAGAUUUAUGAUUUCUUCUCUUUAAUAUUUAUUAUUUCCUGUAUAUUCGAGGAGUAGUCCGAUGGGACCUUGAUACUAUUCAAGCACACAAACAUGUUUUCCUUCUCUUCCUUGCUGAGAGUGUAACUGGCAGGAUGCAAGUAAUGUCCAUCAUCUCUGUUUUCCAGAUGUAGGCCAUCUCGUUGUUUUAUAUGUUUCAGGUCCCGACGUACUUCAAUUGUAUCCUUUGCUUUUCCAUAUGUACCCAGGAAGCCAAGCACGUUCUCGCAAAAAAAUUUCUUCAGGUGCAUCACAUCGAUUGCAUUACGAACCUCAAGAACUUCCCAAUAAGGUAACUCCCAAAAUAUAGACUUCUUCUUCCACAUGGGUGCAUAUCCAUCCUCGUCGUUCGGAAUAGUUUGGCUACCAGAUUCCUUGCCAAAGACUACUCGUACAUCCUUUAUCAUAGAAAAUACACGUUUACCAUUACAGUGAUCGGGCUUGGUACAUUUUCUUCCUCCCCUUCAAAAUACUUCCCUUUCUUUUUUAACAGGUGCUUAGCAGGAAGAAAUCGACGAUGGCUCGUCUACACGACCUUCCUACAGUGUUUCAAAUACAUGCUGCAAAUAUCAUCUAAAUAGUGCGUGCAGACUCUAUAUCUCUUGUUUGUCUGUCCGAACAGAUUACAAAGCGUCCGCCAAUCAUUGAUGGUUACGAACAACAAUGCUCGUAGAUUAAAAGUCUCAUUUUUAUCCUCAUCCCACACACGUACACCUUCUUCCUUCCAUAAUAGUAAAAGUUCAUCAACCAACAGUCUUAGGUAAACAUUAAUGUUGUUGCUAGGUUGUUUUGCGCCUUGGAUAAUUACAGGCAUCAUAAUGAACUUCUGCUUCAUGCACAUCUAGGAUGGAAGGUUGAAUAUACAUAAGGUCAAAUGCCAAGUGCUAUGACCACUACUGAACUCACCCGAUGGAUUGAAUCCAUCUAUACUUAAACCAAAUCGUAUGUUCCUUGCAUCCUUUUCAAACUUGAAAAAAUUUUCUGUCAACUGUUCUCCACUGGGAACCAUCAGCAGGGUGUCUGAUCAUUUCAUUUUGCUUACAUUCUUUUUUGUGCCAACGCAUCAACUUUGCAUGUGCCUUGUUUUUGAACAAACGCUUCAAGCGUGGUACUACAGGAAAAUACCACAUUACCUUCAUAGGAACUUUCUUCUUGCUGGCCUACCCCUCAACAUCACCGGGAUCAUCUCGUCUGAUCUUAGGGUAUGUUUGGUUGGGUUGUGGCUUUUAGAAAAGUUGCUGUGAGAUUAGGACUGUAGAAAAGCAGCUGUGAGAAAGCAGCUGUGGGAGAAGUAGAAGAUCGUUUUGUUAGAGCAGCUGUGAAACUGUAAGUUGUGUAAGAAAUAACUGUAAUACCCCUAAAGGUCCGAGGGUCUGUUUAUAUGCAAAUUGCUUGUAACAAAAUAGUGUGUUCACUAAUUCUCAUGUAAAUGACUAUUUUAGAAAGGAUAAAAAUAAUUUUUUUAUGUUAUUCUUCCAUCAAAGUGAUUGGUCCACAUAAAUAGAACAAUAUCCAUCAAAAGGCUUAUACAAUGAUGCCAUCCCUCAACAUUACCGUCCUCCUCUCGCACUAACCAAAGCAUCAACUAUCCUAGUACGAAUGGUAUUCAUGGUAUCCUCAUUCUCCACAUCGUUUCUCAUCUUCGGAUAUGACUUUUCUCAUCUUAAGAUAUGACUAUUUAUUGAUGAAAUAUUUUUUUAUUUCCCAUAACCAUAUCGUUUCUUUUCUUUUUUCGUUUUGCCACGGCCUUAUCUUCUUGUGUUGGAUGAGCAUCGUCACCCAAGCUUAGUCCUAGGAUGGAGAGAAGCUCGAGCUUGCUUGGGCCAUGGCCGCCCAAUGUGAGCUUUGCCUGCGCCAUGGCUGCCCAGCUCGAGCUUGCCCACGCCAUGGCCGCCCAGCUCGAAGACAAAGUAGAGCACCUUGGUGCGCAACAGGAAGUUGCGCUCGACGGCGAAGACGAUGAGCGUGACGAGCCACUGGUUGAGGAGGUGGCUGGAGAAGCGGUGACCAUGACGCACCACUUCCAGAUCUCCAGCCCCUUGAGGAUGCGCCCCCGCAGGGGUUGCACGAUGACGCUAACCACGAGCAGCGCGAGGACGAGCAGCGGGCUGGGGCGGCGGGCGGUGGCCGGCGGUGGACGGCGGGGUGCGGCGGCCGGGAGCGGCGGCUGUUUAGGGGUGGGGUGUGGCAGGCAGCUAGGGGCGGCGGGCCGACGGGGGUGGCGCAUGAAGGAGGUCGACGGUUGUGCGGGGGAGGAGUGGACGGAGGACUGCGCGUCGGGAGAAAUAGAUCAGGGGAGAAAAAUGAACCGUUACCUUCAUAAUUAGUGGCUGGUGGGUAAUUUUUUACCCUAAAGCACUUAAAAGCAGGGGGACAUGUGCUUUUAGUUUUGUACUAGAGCAAAAACAGCUUUUGAGCAAAAGCAUCUUUGGUUGGUUUUUGACUUUUGCAAAA